CUACUUUUAAUUCUAAACUAAAAAUUUAAAUCUCUUGUCACUAAAAUAUCUAUAAUUCAUUUAAUAUCUAUUCAAUUUAUGUAAAUUUUAGCUCAUUGACCUUAACUCAAGCUACAAACUUUAUAUUAUCAAAGUCAAUAAACAAAUUUUAAAAAAAUGAGAGCCAAAUCAAAGAAAAAAUUAGUUACAUGCUAUAACCAUAGCCAUAUGAAUCCUUUUCUAUAAAUUUGUUUGGAUCUCCCUCAUCACAUCUUUUCUUCUUAAGUACAAUGGCUUAUUGAAAAGCUAACAACAAGAUCCAGCUUCUCUCAAAAUUUCAAAACAAAAUGAUGCAAAUCCAUUAAAUGGCAUAGACAUAUUCAAACUAGUCUUUAAUCUUGCUGUUUAAAAACUCUAGCAACUCUCUUCCUAUAAAUUUCCAUAGAUUUCCCUUAUCAUAGCUCUUCUUCUUGCAUGUUAAGACUUGUUAGAAAGCUAAUAAUAAGAUCUAGCUUCUUUCAAAAUUUCAAUACAAAAGACAAAAAUAUAAUAGAUGGUAUAGAAAAAUCCUAACAAGUCUUUUAUUACCCUAAUAUUUCAACAACCCUCCUCCUACAUGUCACUUGCCUAAGGAAAAUCCACUCGAUGCUAAAAAAUCCCCUCCUUCUUUUUUUCUCCUCCUUCCCUCCCACC
rnacentral:lncRNA from 1 species